rnacentral:lncRNA from 1 species
GGUAACUGCAAGGCAGACCGAUUUCACAGACUGACAUCAACCUUUACAUCUCUGUGGAGGAGAGAUAUUGACCUAUGCAAAAACUAUCACAAUAUCGCGACUGGCGUAAUAUAUUCGGACUACACUGUAGAGUUAAAUGCUGUGUGUGAGGCAGCCGAGAAGUUCAGAUUGUUGCGUACAAAUUAUGUGCAUGGCUUUGAAUGGAUUGACAUGGAAAAAAGUGAAGCUGCUGGAGAGCUAGAAGAAGGAAACUGAAAAACAAGAAUUCUGGUUGUAUGGUAAAGCAAAUGUAGCAGGUGGAACAUGAACAAAUGGGCUGAAUCAUAAGGUUCCAGGGCUUGCAUUACCAAGCAGUUACAUUGGCUUUGAAUCACUUACUUCUCACCUUCGUGGAUUCGAGAACUUGCUUAGGAUGUGGGUCUUUUUUAUCGUAUGAGAAGGCAUUCCAGCUGGCUUACAGAAGAUGUGUUGGAAAUUCUCCUGUUGCUGGUGCAGGAAGUUAUGCUGAUAAUGAUGUAGGUGGCGCUGCUGCAACAGGUGAUGGUGAUGUCAUGAUGAGAUUCCUUCCAAGAUGCAGUAAUAGAUCUGAAAAUGUAGGCCUGUACACGAGUAGUAUUGACAGACCUGUUCCAUAUCGGGACUUUGAUAAGACCACACAUAUUAGACAGAGAAUAUGUAUUCAGAGUUUCUGCAGCAGUGAUAUUUAGACCAAUUCACAGUGUGACUGAGAUCUUGUGAUAUAUAGAUCCAGAAGGAGCCCCCAGACAUGUGAAAGUAGAGAGCCUCACUACAUCAUCACUCAGGUCACCUUGGAGGUGAGCGACCUAGGGCCAUAUUGGCCCUCUUGUUUAGUACCAUCUGCUGCUGGAGGGAAUAAUACACCAGUCAAGUUGAAUUCUGCAGAAAUACAGGUGACCUGGCUACUACCACCACUAAAAACACAGAAUGGAGACCUGUAUGGAUACAGGGUGAGGGGUUUACAUGUUUUACAUGUAUUGAUUUGGGAAAAACAUUCUUACAGAACAGUUUUGUUUAUACCGUUACUGCU